CCUUCCAUAUAAAAGAACUGUGCUUAAAUUACAGAAUCCAGGUUUUCCUGGUUUAUGUAAUAAUGCUAGCAGAGUAACAAAAUGGAAGGAGAGCAAUUGCCCUGCACCGGAAAUGAAAGAUGGUCGGACCGCUUUCUUAAUGUCCAGUGGCCUUUGUUUCAAGGUUCAGUGCAACAGUU
ensembl:snoRNA SNORA81 Small nucleolar RNA SNORA81